rnacentral:tRNA from 1 species
GCAGUGGUGGUUCAGUGGUAGGAUUCUCACCUUCCACGCAGGAGACCCAGGUUCAAUUCUUGGCCAGUGCA